AUACGGAGGAUCCGAGCGUUAUCCGGAUUUAUUGGGUUUAAAGGGAGCGUAGGCGGACUAUUACGUCAGCUGUGAAAGUUUGCGGCUCAACCGUAAAAUUGCAGUUGAUACUGGUCGUCUUGAGUGCAGUAGAGGUAGGCGGAAUUCGUGGUGUAGCGGUGAAAUGCAUAGAUAUGACGAAGAACACCGAUUGCGUAGGCAGCUGACCAGACCGCAAAUGACGCUCAUGCACGAAAGUGCGGGGAUCGAACAGGAUUAGAUACCCUGGUAGUCCGCACAGUAAACGAUGAAUACUUGUUUUCGGCGAUAUAAUGUCGGAGGCAAAGCGAAAGCGAUAAGUAUUCCACCUGGGGAGUACGCCGGCAACGGUGAAACUCAAAUGAAUUGACGGGG
rnacentral:rRNA from 1 species